rnacentral:tRNA from 1 species
UGGUGGGUAGUCUAGUGGAGUGGACGCGCCGCUGACUCCGGCGAGAUCGCAGGUUCGACUCCUGCCCCGCCAA